GAAGUAAAAAUCGUAACAAGGUCUCCGUUGGUGAACCAGCGGAGGGAUCAUUACCGAGUUUACAACUCCCAAACCCCUGUGAACAUACCACUUGUUGCCUCGGCGGAUCAGCCCGCUCCCGGUAAAACGGGACGGCCCGCCAGAGGACCCCUAAACUCUGUUUCUAUAUGUAACUUCUGAGUAAAACCAUAAAUAAAUCAAAACUUUCAACAACGGAUCUCUUGGUUCUGGCAUCGAUGAAGAACGCAGCAAAAUGCGAUAAGUAAUGUGAAUUGCAGAAUUCAGUGAAUCAUCGAAUCUUUGAACGCACAUUGCGCCCGCCAGUAUUCUGGCGGGCAUGCCUGUUCGAGCGUCAUUUCAACCCUCAAGCACAGCUUGGUGUUGGGACUCGCGUUAAUUCGCGUUCCCCAAAUUGAUUGGCGGUCACGUCGAGCUUCCAUAGCGUAGUAGUAAAACCCUCGUUACUGGUAAUCGUCGCGGCCACGCCGUUAAACCCCAACUUCUGAAUGUUGACCUCGGAUCAGGUAGGAAUACCCGCUGAACUUAAGCAUAUCAUA
rnacentral:rRNA from 1 species